ensembl:rRNA 5S_rRNA 5S ribosomal RNA
GCUUGCAUCUACAUCGCCUUGGGUUUUGAUCUCAGAUCUCCUCAUCUAAGCAGGAUCAAGCUUGGUCAGUAAUUGUAUGGGAAUCCUCUAAGGAAAACUCAGGUGUUGCAGGAA